UGCCCAGCCCUAGCUAUGACGGUGCUGGCUGAUGAUGCCUCGAGGAAGGAACACAGAAUCGACACAGCAAGCAGAGCCAACACAGGACACAGACAGAACAUGCGUGCGUGCGUGCGUGCGUGCGUGCAUAGUUCAGUGAGAAUAGGAGGAUGGUCGGGCAUGGAAAUGAGGAGAGUGGGAGAGAUUGUCUUCUACUUCUAGGCCUUUGUCUGUGAUGUGUGUUUGUGUGUGUGGUGUGUACGCGCGCGCGUGAUUUUCCUUUCUUGUCACUCCUUCUGUUAUCACCACACUGCCCACUUGGGCCUAAUAAGUUUUUAGCCUUUUCCGCCUGCAGGCCUAGGCCCUACUGUGUAUUUUUCAAGGAUCCGGCUUUAGGUAUAGUCUAGAUGAUCUAGAUCUAGAUCUAGGGAUCUCUAAAGAUCUCUUGAGUACCGCAUCUGGAGUCUUCUGUGCUAUUUUUUGUUCUUCUUUCCACGAGGAUGUGAAUUGGAUUUUAGGGAGGUCCGAGUAAGAGUAGAGGGCAUGUUCUUGGAUAGCCUCAUUAUAAAGUGCUUUUCUGACCGGUUCAAGCAAGCUCAAAAGUCUGUGUAGAGUGCUGGUAUUGUGCAUUCGUAACGGUAACGGUCAUCUUCGCUUCUGUUGUGGAAUAUAUUAAAUUAUGAACUGUGAGUCGCAGUGAGUGUGCAGUGUUGACUUAGAUCUAGAUCUAGCUCCUUCAUCUGUUCUUCCCUGACCAGUUCCUACAGGCUCUGCAAUCACAGUAGGAUUAAGAGGAGGAGCAUUGAUACAAUUUGUGCAUUCGUAACAACAAUGGCCAAAUUCUGUUGUGGAAUAUUAUAAAUUAUCGACGGUGAACUCUGAGUGUGAAGUGCGGACAUAAAAGUAUUAUCACCACCAUCAUCAUCAUCAUCAUUAUCUGACAUCCAUCCUGCCCUGACCGCUGCCAGCUUCACUACAACAACACUGGUGGGCAACCCUUCCUCACUUGCCAUGUGGUGGGCGAUGAAGCCUCUCCGCUUCCUGGAAAAUCGAUGGUAACUGGCUCAUGAUCCUUAUAAAUCUUUCCCCUUCGCA